rnacentral:lncRNA from 1 species
UUCAAAGCAUUUUUAGGAAAUUCACCAUAGACACUCGUCAUCGAGAAGCCUACCGCAGGACGAAAAUCCAAAAACACCUAGCAAACGCAACCGAUGACCUAGAACCAACAUAUCAAAACGACAGGAUACAAGUAUGAAAGGAAACCCAUGAUACAGUCAGAUUCACUCAGGGAAUCGACUAAACGCCCACGCAGGGGGGGGGGGUCUAAAAC